CAGUUCGGAUUGUAGCCUGCAACCCGGCUACAUGAAGCUGGAGUUACUAGUAAUCGCAGAUCAGAAUGCUGCGGUGAAUGCGUUCCCGGGUCUUGUACACACCGCCCGUCACACCACGGAAGUUGGGGGCGCCCGAAGCCACUUAGCUAACCCUUUUGGGAAGCGAGUGUCGAAGGUGAAAUCAAUAACUGGGGUGAAGUCGUAACAAGGUAAC
rnacentral:rRNA from 1 species